rnacentral:rRNA from 1 species
GCUCCAAUAGCGUAUAUUAAAGUUGUUGCAGUUAAAAAGCUCGUAGUUGAACUUCGGACUCGGUGGUCAAGUCUUCCUUUAUUGGUCGUACUUGAUUCGCCUUGUCUUAUCUUCUAGAGAACUUGCAUGUCCUUAACUGGGCGUGUAAUUUUUUUCUAGGACUUUACUGUGAAUAAUUAGAGUGUUCAAAGCAGGCAAUC